rnacentral:rRNA from 1 species
GCGCGAAAACUUUACACUGUGGGAAACCGUGAUAAGGGGACACCGAGUGCCAGCAUCAUAUGCUGGCUGUCCAGGUGUGUAAAAUACACCUGUUAGCAAGGGCCGGGCAAGACCGGUGCCAGCCGCCGCGGUAACACCGGCGGCCCGAGUGGUGAUCGUGAUUAUUGGGUCUAAAGGGUCCGUAGCCGGUUUGGUCAGUCCUCCGGGAAAUCUGACGGCUCAACCGUUAGGCUUUCGGGGGAUACUGCCAGGCUUGGAACCGGGAGAGGUAAGAGGUACUACAGGGGUAGGAGUGAAAUCUUGUAAUCCCUGUGAGACCACCUGUGGCGAAGGCGUCUUACCAGAACGGGUUCGACGGUGAGGGACGAAAGCUGGGGGCACGAACCGGAUUAGAUACCCGGGUAGUCCCAGCCGUAAACGAUGCUCGCUAGGUGUCAGGCAUGGCGCGACCGUGUCUGGUGCCGCAGGGAAGCCGUGAAGCGAGCCACCUGGGAAGUACGGCCGCAAGGCUGAAACUUAAAGGAAUUGGCGGGGGAGCA